ACCAGGUUUUCCGAAGAAAAAAACUGGUUAUUAGAUUGGCGAAUGCAGGCGGGCUGGCGGGCUGGCUGGCUGGCGGGCUGGCGGGCGGGCGGAACAAGCUUGUCCGGGCCAUAACUAUGUCGUUCAUUGUCAGAUUUUAAAAUCAUUUGGCACAUUUGUUCACCAUCAUUGGACGGUGUGUCGCGCGAAAUAAUUACGUCGAUAUCUCCAAGGUCAAGGUCGCCACGACUAAAAAUAGAUUUAAAAAAAAAAAAACUUACAAAGGGGGUUAAUUUUGUUUGUUCAUUUCAAAAGU